rnacentral:rRNA from 1 species
UCAAGAGGGAAACAACCCAGACUACCAGCUAAGGUCCCUAAAUCUUACUUAAGUGGAAAACGAUGUGAAGUUACUUAAACAACCAGGAGGUUGGCUUAGAAGCAGCCAUCCUUUAAAGAAAGCGUAAUAGCUCACUGGUCUAGUGAUUUUGCGCGGAAAAUAUAACGGGGCUAAAGUAAGUACCGAAGCUGUAGACUUGCGCACAACUUAGAUUAUUUAAGUUUAGAAUAUGAGAAACUAAGUUAUAUGUUUAGUUAUAUUUUUACUGAUUUUUAUAGAGUAAAGAUAGAAAUAAAACUUAGUAAAAUCAGUAAAAAUAUUCUUAGACUAAAGUUAAGUAGUUUAAGUUGUGUGCAAGUGGUAGGAGAGCGUUCUAUUUGCGUCGAAGGUAUACCGGUAAGGAGUGCUGGAGCGAAUAGAAGUGAGCAUGCAGGCAUGAGUAGCGAUAAUUAAUGUGAGAAUCAUUAACGCCGUAAACCCAAGGUUUCCUACGCGAUGCUCGUCAUCGUAGGGUUAGUCGGGUCCUAAGUCGAGUCCGAAAGGGGUAGACGAUGGCAAAUUGGUUAAUAUUCCAAUACCAACAUUAGUGUGCGAUGGAAGGACGCUUAGGGCUAAGGGGGCUAGCGGAUGGAAGUGCUAGUCUAAGGUCGUAGGAGGUUAUACAGGCAAAUCCGUAUAACAAUACUCCGAGAACUGAAAGGCUUUUUGAAGUCUUCGGAUGGAUAGAAGAACCCCUGAUGCCGUCGAGCCAAGAAAAGUUUCUAAGUUUAGCUAAUGUUGCCCGUACCGUAAACCGACACAGGUGGGUGGGAUGAGUAUUCUAAGGCGCGUGGAAGAACUCUCUUUAAGGAACUCUGCAAAAUAGCACCGUAUCUUCGGUAUAAGGUGUGGUUCGCUUCGUAUUAGGAUUUACUCCGAAAGCGAAGAAACUUACAACAAAGAGUCCCUCCCGACUGUUUACCAAAAACACAGCACUCUGCUAACUCGUAAGAGGAUGUAUAGGGUGUGACGCCUGCCCGGUGCUCGAAGGUUAAUUGAUGGGGUUAGCAUUAGCGAAGCUCUUGAUCGAAGCCCGAGUAAACGGCGGCCGUAACUAUAACGGUCCUAAGGUAGCGAAAUUCCUUGUCGGUUAAAUACCGACCUGCAUGAAUGGCGUAACGAGAUGGGAGCUGUCUCAAAGAGGGAUCCAGUGAAAUUGUAGUGGAGGUGAAAAUUCCUCCUACCCGCGGCAAGACGGAAAGACCCCGUGGACCUUUACUACAGCUUGACACUGCUAUUUGGAUAAGAAUGUGCAGGAUAGGUGGGAGGCUUUGAGUAUAUGACGCCAGUUGUAUAUGAGCCAUUGUUGAGAUACCACUCUUUCUUAUUUGGGUAGCUAACCAGCUUGAGUUAUCCUCAAGUGGGACAAUGUCUGGUGGGUAGUUUGACUGGGGCGGUCGCCUCCCAAAUAAUAACGGAGGCUUACAAAGGUUGGCUCAGAACGGUUGGAAAUCGUUCGUAGAGUAUAAAGGUAUAAGCCAGCUUAACUGCAAGACAUACAAGUCAAGCAGAGACGAAAGUCGGUCUUAGUGAUCCGGUGGUUCUGUGUGGAAGGGCCAUCGCUCAAAGGAUAAAAGGUACCCCGGGGAUAACAGGCUGAUCUCCCCCAAGAGCUCACAUCGACGGGGAGGUUUGGCACCUCGAUGUCGGCUCAUCGCAUCCUGGGGCUGGAGCAGGUCCCAAGGGUAUGGCUGUUCGCCAUUUAAAGCGGUACGCGAGCUGGGUUCAGAACGUCGUGAGACAGUUCGGUCCCUAUCUGCCGUGGGCGUAAGAAGAUUGAAGAGAUUUGACCCUAGUACGAGAGGACCGGGUUGAACAAACCACUGGUGUAGCUGUUGUUCUGCCAAGAGCAUCGCAGCGUAGCUAAGUUUGGAAAGGAUAAACGCUGAAAGCAUCUAAGCGUGAAGCCAACUCUAAGAUGAAUCUUCUCUAAGCUCUCUAGAAGACUACUAGUUUGAUAGGCUGGGUGUGUAAUGGAUGAAAGUCCUUUAGCUGACCAGUACUAAUAGAGCGUUUGGCUUAUCUUUAAUAAAGCAU